AAGCAGGCAAGGAAGGCGCCCGGCUCGGAGUGGGAGGGGCUUGUUUUGCAUAUAUCUGCAUAAGGCUGCGUUAUGUAAUAUGUGCUGAAUAUAUAUAUUUAUAUAUUGGGAGCUGCUUUCAGAGGUAUCCAGAGAGCCCAAUAUGCAGACCUCUGCAGACCAUUUACCUCAAUGCGGAGCAAACAUCACCUGACAAUAUCUGCACAUCCUGCUGCUGUAGAUGGUGCAAGAGCAGAGCAGGCCCUCUUUCCCCAGUCAGUUGGCAACCCUUCAUAGCACCCAACGGUACCUCUCCUCCACAAUCUGCUUUGGCUUCAGACAUGGAACCUACACCCACCCCCCGGCUGCCUCUCUCUUUUGCUGCAUCAGCUUUUCCCAAGCCAAGAAGAGGUGAGGUUCACAUUAUGAAAAGUGCCUUGUAAAACUUGUGCAAUGCGACGGGAGGAUUUGGAAGCCACGUCAUCCGAUCAUAAAUAUCCACAGUUGCAUAGGAUGGGUUUAAUUGCCGGUGUGUUUUGAUGGCAACCAAGAGAGAGAGAGGCCUGACCUUUGUGUACACCAUCAACUUUUCCCAGGAGGUGGGAAAUGGAUUCAAAGUUGCUAAUGGAAAACUUCUUCCAGGCUGCUCUUUGAUUGCCCGGCAACUCCCAAAUUAAAAAGAAGCAGACAGAAUUCACAAAAGAAGAGACGUCCGCAACAAUUAUGCUGAAAUACUUUCCAUAUCUCUUCGAGAAAAGUUUGCACCCCGGGGAGCUCACACAUGACGGACAAAGGCAAGGGGGAAAGAGUCAUUCCUCAUAAUCUGAUCCAUAUUAAAGAUGGGCUUGAUGUGGAAUUUAGGAGGUCAGGCUACCCUGGGGUUGCCAACUUAUUGGGGGGGCAUCCCAACCUGGGAUUGCCAACUUAUCGGGGGGAAGUCUCUAAGCUGCUGUAUGGAUUUUAAUAGCAGCUUGAUCCAAAGGAAUCAGUGGGCGAAAUGUUUCAUAAGUGUGAAAUUCCUAUUUCCAUCCAUUUCCUAUCUGUACCCUGCAAUGGAUGAGGGACCUUGGGGUGGGG